rnacentral:rRNA from 2 species
AGUCGAACGAUGAUUAUCUAGCUUGCUAGAUAUGAUUAGUGGCGGACGGGUGAGUAACAUUUAGGAAUCUGCCUAGUAGUGGGGGAUAGCUCGGGGAAACUCGAAUUAAUACCGCAUACGACCUACGGGUGAAAGGGGGCGCAAGCUCUUGCUAUUAGAUGAGCCUAAAUCAGAUUAGCUAGUUGGUGGGGUAAAGGCCCACCAAGGCGACGAUCUGUAACUGGUCUGAGAGGAUGAUCAGUCACACCGGAACUGAGACACGGUCCGGACUCCUACGGGAGGCAGCAGUGGGGAAUAUUGGACAAUGGGGGCAACCCUGAUCCAGCCAUGCCGCGUGUGUGAAGAAGGCCUUUUGGUUGUAAAGCACUUUAAGCAGGGAGGAGAGGCUAAUGGUUAAUACCCAUUAGAUUAGACGUUACCUGCAGAAUAAGCACCGGCUAACUCUGUGCCAGCAGCCGCGGUAAUACAGAGGGUGCGAGCGUUAAUCGGAAUUACUGGGCGUAAAGCGAGUGUAGGUGGCUCAUUAAGUCACAUGUGAAAUCCCCGGGCUUAACCUGGGAACUGCAUGUGAUACUGGUGGUGCUAGAAUAUGUGAGAGGGAAGUAGAAUUCCAGGUGUAGCGGUGAAAUGCGUAGAGAUCUGGAGGAAUACCGAUGGCGAAGGCAGCUUCCUGGCAUAAUAUUGACACUGAGAUUCGAAAGCGUGGGUAGCAAACAGGAUUAGAUACCCUGGUAGUCCACGCCGUAAACGAUGUCUACUAGCCGUUGGGGUCCUUGAGACUUUAGUGGCGCAGUUAACGCGAUAAGUAGACCGCCUGGGGAGUACGGCCGCAAGGUUAAAACUCAAAUGAAUUGACGGGGGCCCGCACAAGCGGUGGAGCAUGUGGUUUAAUUCGAUGCAACGCGAAGAACCUUACCUGGUCUUGACAUAGUGAGAAUCCUGCAGAGAUGCGGGAGUGCCUUCGGGAAUUCACAUACAGGUGCUGCAUGGCUGUCGUCAGCUCGUGUCGUGAGAUGUUGGGUUAAGUCCCGCAACGAGCGCAACCCUUUUCCUUAUUUGCCAGCGGGUUAAGCCGGGAACUUUAAGGAUACUGCCAGUGACAAACUGGAGGAAGGCGGGGACGACGUCAAGUCAUCAUGGCCCUUACGACCAGGGCUACACACGUGCUACAAUGGUAGGUACAGAGGGUUGCUACACAGCGAUGUGAUGCUAAUCUCAAAAAGCCUAUCGUAGUCCGGAUUGGAGUCUGCAACUCGACUCCAUGAAGUCGGAAUCGCUAGUAAUCGCAGAUCAGAAUGCUGCGGUGAAUACGUUCCCGGGCCUUGUACACACCGCCCGUCACACCAUGGGAGUCUAUUGCACCAGAAGUAGGUAGCCUAACGCAAG